rnacentral:rRNA from 1 species
UAGGGAAUCUUCGGCAAUGGACGAAAGUCUGACCGAGCAACGCCGCGUGAGUGAAGAAGGUUUUCGGAUCGUAAAACUCUGUUGUUAGAGAAGAACAAGGAUGAGAGUAACUGUUCAUCCCUUGACGGUAUCUAACCAGAAAGCCACGGCUAACUACGUGCCAGCAGCCGCGGUAAUACGUAGGUGGCAAGCGUUGUCCGGAUUUAUUGGGCGUAAAGCGAGCGCAGGCGGUUUCUUAAGUCUGAUGUGAAAGCCCCCGGCUCAACCGGGGAGGGUCAUUGGAAACUGGGAGACUUGAGUGCAGAAGAGGAGAGUGGAAUUCCAUGUGUAGCGGUGAAAUGCGUAGAUAUAUGGAGGAACACCAGUGGCGAAGGCGACUCUCUGGUCUGUAACUGACGCUGAGGCUCGAAAGCGUGGGGAGCAAACA